rnacentral:rRNA from 1 species
UACGAAGGGGGCUAGCGUUGUUCGGAAUUACUGGGCGUAAAGGGCGCGUAGGCGGUGUGUCAAGUCAGGCGUGAAGGCCCCGGGCUCAACCUGGGAACAGCGCUUGGGACUGGCACGCUCGAGUUCGGGAGAGGAUGGUGGAAUUCCCAGUGUAGAGGUGAAAUUCGUAGAUAUUGGGAAGAACACCGAUGGCGAAGGCAGCCAUCUGGACCGACAUUGACGCUGAGGCGCGAAAGCGUGGGGAGCAAACAGG